rnacentral:rRNA from 1 species
CAACAGCUCAAAUUUGAAAUCUGGCCCCUCAAGGUCCGAGUUGUAAUUUGUAGAGGAUGCUUUUGGUGAGGUGCCGCCCGARUUCCCUGGAACGGGACGCCACAGAGGGUGAGAGCCCCGUCUGGCUGGCCGCCGAGCCUAUGUAAAGCUCCUUCGACGAGUCGAGUAGUUUGGGAAUGCUGCUCAAAAUGGGAGGUAUAUGUCUUCUAAAGCUAAAUAUUGGCCAGAGACCGAUAGCGCACAAGUAGAGUGAUCGAAAGAUGAAAAGCACCUUGAAAAGAGGGUUAAAUAGUACGUGAAAUUGUUGAAAGGGAAGCGCUUGURACCAGACUUGGGCGCGGCGGAUCAUCCGGGGUUCUCCCCGGUGCACUUCGCCGCGUCCAGGCCAGCAUCAGUUCGUCGCGGGGGAAAAAGGCUUCGGGAACGUGGCUCCUCCGGGAGUGUUAUAGCCCGUUGCAUAAUACCCUGCGGUGGACUGAGGACCGCGCAUCUGCAAGGAUGCUGGCGUAAUGGUCACCAGCGACCCGUCUUGAAACACGGACCAAGGAGUCGUCUUCGUAU